rnacentral:rRNA from 1 species
GAGACCCACGCCAACGGUUGCCAGCAUGUCCUCCGGGAUGGUGGGGACACUGUUGGGACCGCCUCUGCUAAAGAGGAGGAAGGAAUGGGCAACGGUAGGUCAGCAUGCCCCGAAUUAUCCGGGCUACACGCGGGCUACAAUGGUCAGGACAAUGGGUAUCGACACCGAGAGGUGAAGGCAAUCUCUUAAACCUGUCCUUAGUUCGGAUUGUGGGCUGCAACUCGCCCACAUGAAGCUGGAAUCCGUAGUAAUCGCGUCUCAAAAUGGCGCGGUGAAUAU